rnacentral:SRP_RNA from 14 species
GCCGGGCGCGGUGGCGCACGCCUGUAGUCCCAGCUACUCGGGAGGCUGAGACAGGAGGAUCGCUUGAGUCCAGGAGUUCUGGGCUGUAGUGCGCUAUGCCGAUCGGGUGUCCGCACUAAGUUCGGCAUCAAUAUGGUGACCUCCCGGGAGCGGGGGACCACCAGGUUGCCUAAGGAGGGGUGAACCGGCCCAGGUCGGAAAAAGGACUAGGACUGUCAUGUCUCUAGACUAUGUCCUGCUGCCUUGGGGUGUCACCAAUUUCAGGGUACAUCUGACUUUCACCAUUGGGGUCCACUU